rnacentral:misc_RNA from 1 species
GCUCCUACCGAUUGAGUGAUCCGGUGAAUUAUUCGGACUGACGCAGUGCUCAGCUUCUGGACGUUGCGUUGGAAAGUUUCAUGAACCUUAUCACUUAGGGGAAGGAGAAGUCGUAACAAGGUUUCCGUAGGUGAACCUGCAGAAGGAUCAAGAUCGGAAGAGAGGCGGGUAGGGUAGGAGUGUAGAUCUCAGUGGUCGCCGUGUCGUUAAAAAAAAAAAAAAAAGACAGAAGAAUGUACCAGAUGAGCUGAACCAAAGUCACGAGAAUGCAGAGAAU